GCCUCCUUAGCUUAGUGGUAGAGCGUUGCACUUGUAAUGCAAAGGUCGCUGGUUCAAUUCUGGCAGGGGGCA
rnacentral:tRNA from 1 species